UUACACAUGCAAGUCGAACGGUAACAUUGGUGCUUGCACCAGAUGACGAGUGGCGCACGGGUGCGUAACGCGUAUGCAAUCUACCUUUUACUGAAGAAUAGCCCAGAGAAAUUUGGAAUAAUCCUUCAUAAUAUCAUUUAUCAGCAUUGAUUUAUGAUUAAAGCUCCGGCGGUAAAAGAUGAGCAUGCGUCCUAUUAGUUUGUUGGUGAGGUAACGGCUCACCAAGACUACGAUAGGUAGGGGCCCUGAGAGGGGGAUCCCCCACACUGGUACUGAGACACGGACCAGACUCCUACGGGAGGCAGCAGUGAGGAAUAUUGGACAAUGGAGGCAACUCUGAUCCAGCCAUGCCGCGUGCAGGAUGACUGCCCUAUGGGUUGUAAACUGCUUUUAUAUAGGAAGAAACACUCCCACGUGUGGGGGCUUGACGGUACUAUAUGAAUAAGGAUCGGCUAACUCCGUGCCAGCAGCCGCGGUAAUACGGAGGAUCCAAGCGUUAUCCGGAAUCAUUGGGUUUAAAGGGUCCGCAGGCGGCCUGUUAAGUCAGAGGUGAAAGCCAACAGCUCAACUGUUGAACUGCCUUUGAUACUGAUAGGCUUGAGUUAUUGUGAAGUGGUUAGAAUGUGUGGUGUAGCGGUGAAAUGCUUAGAUAUCACACAGAAUACCCAUUGCGAAGGCAGAUCACUAACAAUAUACUGACGCUCAUGGACGAAAGCGUGGGGAGCGAACGGGAUUAGAUACCCCGGUAGUC
rnacentral:rRNA from 1 species